rnacentral:misc_RNA from 1 species
UUUUCUUCUUCUUCUUACCCUCUGAGGAGAUACAGGAGCGUAGAACUUGCCGUGAAGACUCUGGAAUUUGGUCAAUAGGUAAAAGGGAGGCAGAGAGAGAUUUUUGAAGGCGAAGAGCGAGGAGUAUUACGGUGCCGGAGACAGCCAUGGCAGUGGCCAGAACCAAUCCCUGUGAGCAGAGCAUAGAGGACAUGGUUGAUGAUGAGGGAGAAGAAGAAGAAAACUGAAUAAAGGGUAUUCCAAAGGAGAAUAUGCUUGUGUGGGGUUUUACUAUUUACAUGGGGCCAGAAGACAACGGAUGGAUAGAUAUAUAAACAAACAGAGGGGGG